CCUACGGGAGGCUGCAGUGGGGAAUAUUGCACAAUGGGGGAAACCCUGAUGCAGCAACGCCGCGUGAGUGAGGAAGUAUUUCGGUAUGUAAAGCUCUAUCAGCAGGGAAGAAAAUGACGGUACCUGAGUAAGAAGCCCCGGCUAACUACGUGCCAGCAGCCGCGGUAAUACGUAGGGGGCAAGCGUUAUCCGGAUUUACUGGGUGUAAAGGGAGCGUAGACGGCAGUGCAAGUCUGGAGUGAAAGGCGGGGGCUCAACCCCCGGACUGCUCUGGAAACUGUACGGCUGGAGUGCAGGAGAGGUAAGUGGAAUUCCUAGUGUAGCGGUGAAAUGCGUAGAUAUUAGGAGGAACACCAGUGGCGAAGGCGGCUUACUGGACUGUAACUGACGUUGAGGCUCGAAAGCGUGGGGAGCAAACAGGAUUAGAUACCCGAGUAGUC
rnacentral:rRNA from 1 species